rnacentral:hammerhead_ribozyme from 1 species
AUCCAGCUGACGUAUCUCUAAUCGGACGAAAUGUGCGUCCUGGAU